rnacentral:rRNA from 1 species
UACGUAGGUGGCAAGCGUUGUCCGGAUUUAUUGGGUUUAAAGGGUGCGUAGGCGGCUUUGUAAGUCAGUGGUGAAAUAUGGCAGCUCAACUGUCAGGGUGCCAUUGAUACUGCGGAGCUUGAGUACAGAUGAGGUAGGCGGAAUUGACGGUGUAGCGGUGAAAUGCUUAGAUAUCGUCAAGAACACCGAUAGCGAAGGCAGCUUACUAGGCUGUAACUGACGCUGAGGCACGAAAGUGUGGGGAUCAAAC